AAUAAAAUUAAGAAGGGAAAUGGGGAAUGUGUCAAAGCGACAACAACCCGACCAUAGAGCAGACAACAGCCGAAGGCCACCAGCGGGUCUUCAAUGUAGCGAGAAUUCCCGUACCCGUAGGUGUCCUUCAGCUGGCCCCUAAAAAUAUGUAUACUAGUACAGUGAUAAUGGACGUCAUACUAAACUCCGAAUUAUACACAAG
rnacentral:lncRNA from 1 species